rnacentral:tRNA from 1 species
GGCCGCUGUCCUGGGGAAAUAUUUGUCUUGAAAACAAAUAAAAAGUGUUCGAUUCACUUAGCUGCCU